rnacentral:rRNA from 1 species
AUGAAUAGUUACCGCCCCCUCCCGGUCUCUCUCACUUCACGUACUCGUUCCGGUCUCGCUGACGUGUGGGGUCGCUCGCAUGUGGGCCGCGUUUGUCAGCGGCUGUGCCCGGAGAAGCGUCUCGUGUACGUGUUUUGCUGUCAAAAUAUCAUGCCACCGCCAGUAAUUUCGCCACCCCGCCGAGGGCAUUUGUGCAAAUUUGCGUGCGUGUCCGUGAGUGGCGUCGUGUGGGUGGUUGAAUUUGGCGUAAGAGUGGGGAGGGCCCCCGAUUGGGUAGGAACCCUAGCCCAUUCUCCCCGCCGCGCCCCUCUCCCCUUCUCUACCGCCGCCGCCGCCGCCAGCGCAGGCCGCGGACACGACGAGGAGGCGGCCGGCAUCACCGCGCGCCGCCCGGCCAAGGUCUUCUCCCGCGUGCGCCACCUCCUCGCCAAACCUUUCCCCUACGCGCGGCCCUCGCCGACUUGCUCUUCCUCGGCGGGGAGCAGCAGUAGCAGGCGGAGGCGCUGUGCUCGCGGAGGGGCUGCAGAUCCCCGCCGAGCAGGCCGCGCUGGUGCUCGCCGCCGUGCUCCCCGGCGACGACGACGAACCCGCAACGGAAGGAGCUGGCGCCUCCCCGCCCCCAUCUAUCCACUCCGUCCAGGAGACGAGAGGAAGGAGAAGCCAUGCCCCGUCCACUGCGUCGUGCGCGACGACCGGCUGGGCUCUGUUUCAGCACCCCAAUGCUUGUCGGCGCUUCUUCGACGACCACCCAGGCACGCCAUCGCCUCUCUUCGACCCCAACGGAAGGGACGACUAAUUAAUCUGUCCAGAUCCGAGGCAAGUGAGGCCUUGCUUCACCCCUCUCCCCUUCAAGAAGGAUGUGCCCUUCCUCUGCUCGUUGUUGCUGCCGUCUUUGAUGUCUUCAGACAUAUGGUAGUGAUGUACCAGUCAUGGGUGUCUGGCUUUGGUUUUCUUUCAGUUUUUCGGAUGGGUUACAAAAGCAUGCAGAUAAUGAGAGUUGAAAUUCUGAAUCUUUGCGCCUUUGGAUUAUACUCUGUUUGCAACAAGCUGGGUGCGAAGUAUGCUUCUGUUCCAGUUGUCGAGCUGAAGGAUCACCCAGAUUUAUGUGAAGAUCUUCUGAGAAAGAGCAAAUGGCAUAUUGCACAAGAGCAUGAGGUGUUUGCACCAAUUGCUUUCUUCACACCACGGCCAUGGCUUUGCACCUAUUCUAACUCUGGCAAGUACCCGGUGAUAUAUGAAGCCACCAGCUCUUGUGAUGUACCAUAUUGUUGGGACCGGCACCCUCGCGCCAAGGCGCGCUGCCGAUCUAGUAAUCACUAUGAUGAGCUCCGCUCCCGGCCCCUAGUUACACCAGCAGGGCUCGCCUCAUUCAGCCAGACCACGCUACUACGGGCAACUCAUCUCACUUUGUCUCCCCACGUUCAACUCAACCAACCUUGUUGCCCCUUCUCCUCUCUAUCAUUGGAAAAGUAUCAGGUGCUCCCAAGUUUAGGACACAGCUCAACAAGCCCUAAGAACAAAAGGACACACAAAAACACCGCCACGGACGAGUCCAACCUAAUCAGGCUCCGGCGGCGGUGGCGGAAGCGGGGGCGCCAUGCGGAAGGCCAUCGAUCGAAGGUCGGUGAGGAGGGUGUCGAUGACGCUCCGGUCCUGGGGGCGGCUAAGCGGCCGCCAAAGCUGCAAAUAGCCACACAUUUUGAAGAUCGCGUCGGGGAAGUUGGUAUUGCACCAUUGUCCGCCGACCGUUUCACGGAAGCACGACCACAGGAACUAGGCAGUGGAGCAGUUGAAGAAAAUAUGGUUCGAAUCCUCAACCGUGGCGCACAGGGGACACAUCCCGUCCCCAGGUCCAUUACGCUUGCGGACUUCAACCCGAGAGGGGAGACGUUCCCGGGUCCACUGCUAGAGGAAAAUCCAGAUCUUGAGGGGGAGGCGAAUGUCCCAGAUCAGGCUAAAGGGCUCAGGGGCCGGCGAAGGGGCGAUGGCGGCGUACAGGGACUUUGUGGAGAGUGCCCCGAGGGCUCCAGGCGCCACGCCAUUGAGUCAUCGGCGCCCUCUACAUCCAUCGGCAAGAGAGCGAUGUCCUGUAGAAGGGCGUCCCACGCGUCAACCUCCUGGGGGCCAAAGGUGCGCCUAAAGGCGAGACGCCCUAAGUCAAUAAGGGCCGUCUCGACGGAAAUCCUGGGGUCAACCGCAAUGGCGAAUAAUCCCGGGAAGCGGGCGGCCAGAGGGGAGUCCUCAAGUCAGCGGUCGAACCAAAACAGGGUCGAGGACCCGGAACCCACCGAGAUAGAAGUGCCAAUUCGGCGCACGGGGAGCAGCUGA